rnacentral:rRNA from 1 species
ACGGCGAGUGAAGCGGGAAGAGCUCAUGUUUGAAAUCCAGCUCCUGUGGGUGCUGGAGUUGUAACCUAGAGGUGCGUGAUCGCCUGCCGGUGGGGCCGCGGCUAAGUCCGAUUUGAAAAGGGCACCAAGGAGGGUGGCAGUCCCGUUCGUGCCGCAGUCCUGCCGGCGAUGUGGCCCGCUUCCAACGAGUCGAGUUGCUUGGGAUUGCAGCUCAAAGUGGGUGGUAAACUCCAUCCAAAGCUAAACACGGGUGGGAGACCGAUAGCGAACAAGUACCGUGAGGGAAAGAUGCAAAGAACUUUGAAAAGAGAGUCAAAGAGUGCCUGAAAUUGCUGAGAGGGAAGCGAAGGAAAGUAGUGUCGAUCGUGGGGAUCUCGCACACGGGGAGCGGCCCGAUGGGCCCUCUCCCGUUAUCCCCCGCACUGUCAGGGGCGGGUGUGGCACGGCAGGACAGCGUCGAAGGUAAAGGUGUUCCGAGGUAACAGCCGGACGAAUGCAGGGUACUUAAGUGUACAUUUUUCGCGUCUUGGACAUGGCCGCCCCUGACGAAAUGUUUUUCUUUACCCCGUCUUGAAA